rnacentral:rRNA from 1 species
AGAUUGAACGCUGGCGGCAUGCUUUACACAUGCAAGUCGAACGGCAGCACGGGGGCAACCCUGGUGGCGAGUGGCGAACGGGUGAGUAAUGCAUCGGGACGUAUCCUUGAGUGGGGGAUAACGCAGCGAAAGUUGUGCUAAUACCGCAUAAGCUCUGAGGAGGAAAGCGGGGGACCGAAAGGCCUCGCGCUGAAGGAGCGGCCGAUGUCCGAUUAGCUAGUUGGUGAGGUAAAGGCUUACCAAGGCGACGAUCGGUAGCUGGUCUGAGAGGGAUGAUCACGCCACACGUGGGACUGAGACGACCGGCCAGACCUCCGUACGGGAGGCAGC